GACAGAGGCCUCGAGCGUUAGGCGGAAUCACUGGGCUUAAAGCGUGUGUAGGCGGAUCGUUAAGUGCCUUGUGAAAUCCCACGGCUUAACUGUGGAACGGCUGGGCAUACUGGCGGUCUUGAGCCAUCUAGGGGCGACUGGAACAAACGGUGGAGCGGUGAAAUGCGUAGAUAUCGUUUGGAACGCCAAUGGUGAAAACAGGUCGCUGGGGAUGAGCUGACGCUGAGGCACGAAAGCGUGGGGAUCAAACAGG
rnacentral:rRNA from 1 species